GCGGGGUUUAAAAAUGGGCGGAUCACCGUGGGCGUGGUCAUUGUGUGGGCGUGGCUCGUUCCCUCAGCACCACUCGGGAUGGGCGUGGCCCUGCGGUGGGCGUGGCCCCCACCGGGCAGGGUCCCCCCAGGGCAGGGACCCUUCCACUCCUCCCUGCCGUCGCCCGCGGUUUGCCUUGGCCCGAGGACGCCCAAUAUGGGGCAGAACAUCCCAAACGCGAGGUUUAGCGCUCCCAGCCUUGGCGCAGAGCAUUCCCAUGAGCGAUGUUCCCACUACCAGCGUGUCCCCAAAGGGAUGUCCCCAGAAUGAUGUGCCUGCCACCACCACCACGUCCGUAAAAGGAUGUCCCCACUGCUGGUGUGACUGCAAGUGGAUGUCUCAUACCCAAAGAUGUGCACAAACGGAAACCACCUGGUUCUCCAGAUGUGUUUGAACAUCCCUGUGCCUUCAGCUGUAUGCCCACCUGUGACAUCGGGGACUGCUCCAGCUGUUGGUCUGAAUGCAGCUGCAUCCCCCAGACCACCCAACCCUCCCAGAUGUGAACAUCCUGGAGAUCCUUGGUGCCCCACGUGUGGAAAAGCCUCCCCCCUCCCCAGCUGUGCCCCGAGAAUCCUCCAGACGUGAAUGCCCGUGGGGACCCAGAUGUGCAAGCACGUGUGGGCACAUUUCUCUUGCUGCUGUGCAUGCAGAUGUGAGGCCCCUUCUCCUUCCCAAUAUUCCAGCUGUGCAUACCCAGAUGUAUGUCCCCCCCACUCUUCCCCCAUUGCCCCUUCUCCUCCCCACCUCCUCUUUUUCCCUGAGCCCUCUCCAUGUUCCCCACACUCCCGACUUCCCGUUUUUCCCCUAUUCCAAGUGCCGCUGUAACAAAAUCCCAUAACGAGCCCCUCACAGCAGCCCCUCCAUAAUGAACCUCCCUAACAAAUUCCCCCAAAUGCCCCCCGCACCCGGCGGCUCGCUGAUGGAGGCUCAUUGCUUUCCACACCAGCCCCAACACAAUAGUGAAGUGAUGCCCCCCGCACCCGGCGGCUCGCUGAAGGAGGCUCAUUGCUUUCCACACCAGCCCCAACACAAUAGUGAAGUGGCCAAUUGCUGCUAACAGAUUCAAUGGCACCAUGUGCUGAUUCCUUCGUGUUUCACACCGCCCCCCCGCAAAUUCAAGGCCAUUGGUGGUGCCAGCACCCCAAAGUGUCCCUAUCCCUACCAGCACACCCCGGUGUUGGGGUGCGUUACUCACUCGGACCCCGUGAGGUGCGGGGUGAUGCUGCCUUUCAGGGUUCACUGAGAGGGGGUCCCGAGGGGGGGUGACAGCAGCCCCAAGUGGUGUCACGUAAUUUGGGGUGAAGCCAGGGAGCUGCUGCGUCUCUUCCUUCUCCCCCUGCAGCUCUAGGGCCCCCCUUUCCUCUGCCCCCUCAAAAGUCAUCCCGGUUCCAGUCCACCAUGAAGCCCCCACCCCACACGGAACACCCCCCGCCCUCGUCCCCAUCCCGCUCCUCAGGGACGGGGAGGGAGCGCAGGGACCCCCCCCUGACCCCGCCCAGCACCGCCCCGGCCCGGCCCCCACCCGGGGGCGGUGCCGCAGGCUGAGCCGAGCCCAGCCGGGCUGAGCGGAGCCGGACUGAGUCGGGCUGGGCUGAGCCGCGCUGGGCUGAGCUGGACUGGGCUGAACCGGGCUGGACUGAGCUAAACUGGGCUGAACUGAGCCGAGCCCAACCGAGCAGAGCCAAACUGAGCUGAGCUGGACCGGGCUGAGCCGGAUCGGGCUGAGUCUUGCCGGUCUGAGCCUGACUGGGCUGAGCUGAACCGAUCUGGGCUGAACUGAGCCAAACCCAGCCGAGCAGAGCUAAACUGAGCUGAGCUGAGCCGGAUCGGGCUGAAUCUUGCCGGGCUGAGCCCGACUGGGCUGGGCUGAGUCUUUCCGGGUUGAGCCUGCCUGGGCUGAGCUGAGCCGGACCGUGCUGAACUGAGCCGAGCCCUGCCGAGCAGAGCCGAAGUGAGCUGAGCCGGAUCGGGCUGAGCUGAGCCAGUCUUUGCCGUGCCGGGUAGUGUCGUGCAGAGCCGACCCGAGCCAAG
ensembl:lncRNA